rnacentral:rRNA from 1 species
CCUACGGGUGGCAGCAGUGGGGACUAUUGGGCAAUGGGCGCAAGCCUGACCCAGCAACGCCGCGUGAAGGAAGAAGGCUUUCGGGUUGUAAACCUCUUUUGACCGGGACGCGCAGCAGACGGUACCUGUCGAAUCAGCCACGGCUAACUACGUGCCAGCAGCCGCGGUAAUACGUAGGUGGCAAGCGUUGUCCGGAUUUACUGGGUGUAACUGGCGUGUAGUCGGGCGGACAAUUCAGAUGUGAAAUCCGGGGGCUCAACCCCCGAACUGCAUUUGAAACUGUUGGUCGUGAGUAUCGGAGAGGCAGGCGGAAUUCCGAGGGUAGCGGUGAAAUGCGUAGAUAUUAGGAGGAACACCAGUGGCGAAGGCGGCCUGCUGGACGACAACUGACGGUGAGGCGCGAAAGCGUGGGGAGCAAACAGGAUUAGAUACCCCUGUAGUC